rnacentral:rRNA from 1 species
GACGUAGGGGGCUAGCGUUGUUCGGAAUUACUGGGCGUAAAGCGCGUGUAGGCGGUUAUCCAAGUCGGGUGUGAAAGCCUUGAGCUCAACUCAAGAAAUGCACUCGGUACUGGGUGACUAGAGGACCGGAGAGGAUAGUGGAAUUCCCAGUGUAGUGGUGAAAUACGUAGAGAUUGGGAAGAACACCAGUGGCGAAGGCGGCUAUCUGGACGGUUUCUGACGCUAAGACGCGAAAGCGUGGGGAGCAAACAGG